GACACGACCGUACCGCAAACCGACACUGGUGCGCGAGAUGAGUAUUCUAAGGCGCUUGAGAGAACUCAGGAGAAGGAACUCGGCAAAUUGACACCGUAACUUCGGAAGAAGGUGUGCCUUUAGUAGGUGAACCAUUUACUUGGGGAGCCCAAUGAGGCUGCAAAAAAUCGGUGGCUGCAACUGUUUAUUAAAAACACAGCACUCUGCUAAGACGAAAGUCGACGUAUAGGGUGUGACGCCUGCCCGGUGCUGGAAGAUUAAAUGAUGGGGUGCAAGCUCUUGAUUGAAGUCCCAGUAAACGGCGGCCGUAACUAUAACGGUCCUAAGGUAGCGAAAUUCCUUGUCGGGUAAGUUCCGACCUGCACGAAUGGCGUAAUGAUGGCCACACUGUCUCCUCCUGAGACUCAGCGAAGUUGAAAUGUUUGUGAUGAUGCAAUCUCCCCGCGGAAAGACGGAAAGACCCCAUGAACCUUUACUGUAGCUUUGUAUUGGACUUUGAACAGAUCUGUGUAGGAUAGGUGGGAGGCUUUGAAGUGUGGUCGCUAGAUCGCAUGGAGCCAACGUUGAAAUACCACCCUGGUGUGUUUGAGGUUCUAACCUAGGUCCAUUAUCUGGAUCGGGGACAGUGCAUGGUAGGCAGUUUGACUGGGGCGGUCUCCUCCCAAAGUGUAACGGAGGAGUUCGAAGGUACGCUAGGUACGGUCGGACAUCGUGCUAAUAGUGCAAUGGCAUAAGCGUGCUUAACUGCGAGACUGACAAGUCGAGCAGAUGCGAAAGCAGGACAUAGUGAUCCGGUGGUUCUGUAUGGAAGGGCCAUCGCUCAACGGAUAAAAGGUACUCUGGGGAUAACAGGCUGAUACCGCCCAAGAGUUCAUAUCGACGGCGGUGUUUGGCACCUCGAUGUCGGCUCAUCUCAUCCUGGGGCUGUAGCCGGUCCCAAGGGUAUGGCUGUUCGCCAUUUAAAGAGGUACGUGAGCUGGGUUUAAAACGUCGUGAGACAGUUUGGUCCCUAUCUUCCGUGGGCGCUGCAGAUUUGAGGAAGCCUGCUCCUAGUACGAGAGGACCGGAGUGGACGAACCUCUGGUGUAUCGGUUGUCACGCCAGUGGCAUUGCCGAGUAGCUAAGUUCGGAAGAGAUAACCGCUGAAAGCAUCUAAGCGGGAAACUCGUUUCAAGAUUAGAUCUGCCGGGGCCUUGAGCCCCCUAAAGAGUCGUUCAAGACCAGGACGUUGAUAGGUCAGGUGUGGAAGC
rnacentral:rRNA from 1 species